CCGUAAGUGAACCUGCGGAAGGAUCAUU
rnacentral:rRNA from 1 species